rnacentral:lncRNA from 1 species
AGAAGAGUAAGAAGAGGAGGCGACAAAGAAGAAAAUUCAAGGCAAACCAAAGAGGACUCUCGGUCAAAGUGGCCGUCAGUCUCGUGAGCACCCUCUAGGGCCUCAAGCUCCCGCACCUUGCUCGCUUGGGUGAUGCAGGUAACUUCUUCCUGGAGGGCCGCGGUUGCGUCCAGCGCCUUGGCCAGCUGUGCCUGCUUUUGGAUCAGGGCUUACUCCUUCUCCUUCAAGGCAGCGUCCUUGAGCUUCAUCUCCUCGAGAUGAACCAUCUCAAGAUGCUCCACGUCGGCAGCAUGGGAGGCGUCCUUCUCCUGCAGGGAAGCGCGUAGCUGCUCCUGCUCAGCCUGACGGGCCGCCUCGAGCUCCUUCUUCUCCGCCCGGAGAAGAGCCAACUGUUGCUAGAGCCGUCCAUCUGCCUCGCGCAGGGCGUCCCACUCCACGACAACCUCGCCCAGCCGGGCCUGAAGUUCGGCGACCUGGCCAUCAGCCGCCUGGUUCUGAGCCCGUAGCGUGUUGUAGGCUUGUACCUUGGCAUAAUAAAGAUCCUACAAGAAAUGAAGAAGCAAAAGUAAGAUUCGGCCUGGUUAAUUUAUAACCAACCCGAUUCUUGGGGGCUACACCCAGUGGGUGCGCUAGCGUGCCCCCACUAAAAAAGCAAAGCAAGAGAUGAAGCUCGAAGAGAUUUGGCCCUGCCAAUGAUCGGCCGGCCCGAUUCUCGGGGGCUACACCCAGUGGGUGCACUGGCGCACCCUCAUUGAUUCAAGAUGAAAAAAAAA